GAUGAACGCUGGCGGCGUGCUUAACACAUGCAAGUCGAACGGAAAGGCCUCUGCUUGCAGGGGUACUCGAGUGGCGAACGGGUGAGUAACACGUGGGUGAUCUGCCCUGCACUUCGGGAUAAGCCUGGGAAACUGGGUCUAAUACCGGAUAGGACAAUGGUUUGGAUGCUGUUGUGGAAAGUUUUUCGGUGUGGGAUGAGCUCGCGGCCUAUCAGCUUGUUGGUGGGGUAAUGGCCUACCAAGGCGUCGACGGGUAGCCGGCCUGAGAGGGUGUACGGCCACAUUGGGACUGAGAUACGGGCCAGACUCCUACGGGAGGCAGCAGUGGGGAAUAUUGCACAAUGGGCGCAAGCCUGAUGCAGCGACGCCGCGUGGGGGGUGACGGCCUUCGGGUUGUAAACUCCUUUCGCUAGGGACGAAGCGUUUUUGUGACGGUACCUGGAGAAGAAGCACCGGCUAACUACGUG
rnacentral:rRNA from 1 species